ensembl:lncRNA
GAGGACGCACGCGGCCAGCCGGGAGGCGCGCGCUUUCCCCUCCCCCGCGGCCCGGAGCGCGAGCCGCCGUGACGUCAGGGGCCGCCCGCCUGCCCCGCGCUCCAGCGGGCAGAGCGCGUGCGGCCGCCGAGCACAUGGGCCCGCGGCCCGGGCGGACUCGGGGCGGCGGGGCCCGGGGGAACGGCGAGGGGCCGCGAGCGAGGAUGAGUCCCGGCACGCCCCCGCCCCGGACCCCCUCGAGUGGAUUUCCACGCGGAAAGGAUGUUGGCGGUCCCGGUGACCUGCGGAGACACGGUUGGAGCCACCUUUCAGCCUGAUCUUUUGACCAGAAAGGAAUUAAAAAGAAGGUCCUGCAUGAUGGCUGCACCUGUCAGCUGCAAGGAGCUUCCUUUAAGGAUCUUCUGAGUCUUGUGGGUAAACUCCAGGAGUUGGUGAUGGACAGGGAGGUCUGGUGUGCUGCAGUCCAUGGGGGUCGCAAAGAGUAGGAUGCGACUGAGCGACUGAACUGAACUGAACUGAGUCUUGUGGAUUUACAGCGAUACUCAGCCGCCUGCGUGGGGACUGAUGCUGGUGGAAGCAGGCUCUCAGGGACACACACCGGCCACAUUUCUGGAUGCUCAUGGUGGUUUUAGGAGGGCCCUGGCUGAGCACCUCGUGGAUUCCUGCAGCCUGGAUGAAGACAGGAGACAGAGGACCGACGCUUCCUGCCUUUCUCACUGACAGGAAUGUUCAGUUGGAGCUCUGCCAGCUCCCCUGGGGGCUGCCUCUGAAACAAUCUUGUUACACCUGGGAUUUUGGUGCCUUUAAUCUGAGAAAAAGUACACAUCCAUUCAGUAAUCCAAAAGGACUUGAAACUCUUCUUCUCUGAACUAAAGCUAGAGUAUCGUGGGAUUUAAAGAAUCAAGGGAAGCCCGCCAAAGAGCCCGUCCUGCCAGCGGCUGGCUUGAAGCCCGUCCCCGUCCUCAGAAGCCGCGUCCGCUCCUGGAGCUUUAGCCAGCGCCUGGCCCCGGGGAACUCCACGGGGCCCUACGCAUCGACGGCUACAGGCAGCCCGACCCUGUCUUGGAAUGUGCCCUCCAGAGCACAGCAUCUUCUUGGCUCCAGAAUGCCCGCUCUGCUGAGAAGCUGAAGACUUCCUAUUCCCAGUCCUGCCCCUCCCUCUUCAUUGCUUUUAAUAACCACGCAGGAAGUUUCUCUCCCUCCAGGAAACCAUGGUCAUCACACUUUUCAGCGUAUGUCUGGAUGUUUUCAUCAAAUCUCCCAGCCCCUCGACACGAGCACGUGAAUCACAUUUUAGAACAGCCGAGAGCUCUGGAUCUAGAGCAGAUGAGACUAAAGUUCAAAUACGGGGCUAGGCCUUGGCCUGGCUCUCUGAGGCCUCUCUGAGGCGCCUUCAGUUCCGUGUUUGCCAGAGGGGAGAUUUUGGUCCCAGCACGUCUAUUGAUAAAGCUGUGUUCCUCGCCUGGGUGCACACACAGCGGGCCCAGGUGUAAUCACCUUCCUCAUGGCACCCCCUCUUUGGAUGAUGACUUCCCAGAAAGGGUGGAGGAAGCUGGUGCGAGGAGGUGGGCAGAACAUGACACAUAAUGUGAUGAAGCCGUUUCCCACUGAAAAAGUAUUACAGAAGGUAGUUCAUGACCGCAGUUUUGCUCUAAGGCGCUGGGGCUACACGCCAAGUUCAAGAACUUUAUUCUCCUGUGUUUAAUGGCGUUGAAGGACAGGCUGGAGUUUCUGGUGGCAGGCAGCACCACCAGGCAGAGUUAAUGCUUCCCCGCCUCUGCAGCCCUGGGGUCAGACCUGGGCUGGCCCUGCUGACUCCACGUUUACCAGCUCGGGCCCUUUGGACGCUUGAACUUCUCUGUGUCUUUAUUUUUCUCACCUGAAAAAUGGCGCUAAAAAUAGCCC